rnacentral:rRNA from 1 species
AGUGAACGCUGGCGGUAGGCCUAACACAUGCAAGUCGAACGGCAGCACAGUAAGAGCUUGCUCUUACGGGUGGCGAGUGGCGGACGGGUGAGGAAUACAUCGGAAUCUACUUUUUCGUGGGGGAUAACGUAGGGAAACUUACGCUAAUACCUCAUACGACCUACGGGUGAAAUCAGGGGUUCUUCGGACCUUGCGCGAUUGAAUGAGCCGAUGUCGGAUUAGCUAGUUGGCGGGGUAAAGGCCCACCAAGGCGACGAUCCGUAGCUGGUCUGAGAGGAUGAUCAGCCACACUGGAACUGAGACACGGUCCAGACUCCUACGGGAGGCAGCAGUAGGGAAUAUUGGACAAUGGGCGCAAGCCUGAUCCAGCCAUACCGCGUGGGUGAAGAAGGCCUUCGGGUUGUAAAGCCCUUUUGUUGGGAAAGAAAAGCAGCAGGUUAAUACCCCGCUGUUCUGACGGUACCCAAAGAAUAAGCACCGGCUAACUUCGUG